rnacentral:rRNA from 1 species
UACAGAGGUCCCAAGCGUUGUUCGGAUUCAUUGGGCGUAAAGGGUGUGUAGGUGGCGCCGUAAGUCGGGUGGUGAAAUUUCGGAGCUUAACUCCGAAACUGCAUUCGAUACUGCGGUGCUUGAGGACUGGAGAGGAGACUGGAAUUCAUGGUGUAGCAGUGAAAUGCGUAGAGAUCAUGAGGAAGACCAGUGGCGAAGGCGGGUCUCUGGACAGUUCCUGACACUGAGACACGAAGGCCAGGGGAGCAAACGGG